AUACGGAGGGUGCAAGCGUUACUCGGAAUCACUGGGCGUAAAGCGCGCGCAGGCGGGCUGAUAAGUUGGAUGUGAAAGCCUACGGCUCAACAGUAGAACUGCAUCCAAAACUGUCAGUCUAGAGUGUGGGAGAGGAAGAUGGAAUUAGUUGUGUAGGGGUAAAAGCCGUAGAGAUAACUAGGAAUACCAAAAGCGAAGGCAAUCUUCUGGAACACUACUGACGCUGAGGCGCGAAGGCGUGGGGAGCAAACAGGAUUAGAAACCCCAGUAGUCC
rnacentral:rRNA from 1 species